ACCUGCAGUUCUAUUCAGUUUUAGGACAGAGACAGAUAUGGACCUGUAUUGAAUUUGCUGCGGAAAUGGAUAUCAUUAAAAAAUUGUGUUUAAAUGAUGUAAAUAGGCAGAAUAGGCACAGCAAUGGACUAUGGACUUCGACAUCUUAACUUUUGAUCCAAGAUCAACCCUCCAGAUAACUUGUUCUGAUGUUCGGUGGGCUCUCCUUAUAUCCUACUUCAGGGUUUCCCAAACACGGUCCUGGGAUCCCCCUGGGGGCACGUUUUGUUUUUUGUCCUAACACUACACAGCUGAUUCAAAUAAUAAAAUCUUGAUGAUGCGUUGGUUAUUUGAAUCAGCUGUGUGGUGCUCCGGCAAACACCAAAACGGAUCAUUUGUUUCCAGUCUUUAUGUAACUGAUUGCUGUCUCCUAGUGGUGGUUUUAAACCACACUCAAGAUAAUAGGUUAAAGUAAAGGUUGUGUGUGAAAGCAGAUCAGCGCCAUCUGAUGUUUAUACUUAGGGGUGAGGUGCCUCAUUGCUAUUAUAAAUAGAAACAAUCUAAUGUCUUUCCAAAUGGCUUCAUCAUCUAUAAACUUGCCCUGAGUUAGAUGCGUUGCUUUUUCUGUUGAUAUGCUUGAUUGGUGUAUAUUCUAUCCAGUGUGUUUUAGAUUCUGUUGUAAAUGUUAGCUGACUGACGUCUGGAGAUUGUUUGUUAUAACAUACCAUAUCUCCGGAUGUUAGUGGUAUAUAAAGCCUAGCAGUUAAGAACGUUGGGCCAGUAACCAAAACGUUGGUUAGAAUCCCUGAGCCGAAUAGAUGAAAAAUGAAUCGAUGUACCCUUGAGCAAGGCACUUAGCCCUAAUUGCUCCUGUAAGUCACUCUGGAUAACAACAUUUACAAAAAUGUACAUGUACAUUUCCAACUCUCUCACGUGUUGGAUAUUUGUUUUGAAACUGGAAAAUGGCACAAGAAGAUGCACAAAGGUUGCCAUUUUUGUCUGGUGAGAUGAGCAAAGGGGCCACCAAACAACAUUUGAUUCAGCUAGCAAUCUUACUGGAGCUAAAGAAGUCCAACAAAAUGGUUCAUUUUAGUAUUAGAUUGAGGACACAAUUUCAAUGGAUUGACAAGUCAAUUAAAUCACAAACAACGUCAAUUUGGUCUAUUUCCGGCCAUGGCGGAUAUGUGCAGAGUUGAGCAUGAAGGGUCAAUCAUGGCAUUGUGUGUGAAAUAUCUUGCACUGGAGAUGAUGGUGCUCAAAAUGUCAACACAGGGCUGGGUGUCUUUCUACGUAGCCAGAUACCUGGUUUGGACCCAUUUUGGGAUGAGGUUUGCUUAACAGCACCUAAUGUAGCCUAUUACUUCCAAGAUAUCUAGCUGUUCAAUAGCCUAACAUCUUGGAUGUUCCGAUGCUCAGUUGGUAAAAUGCAUUGACCCAGUCCUAACUUCAGGAAGACACUGGUAUGAUGGCCAACCGCCCAAACAGGUUUGGGAACUACUGCUUUAUUAGAUGCCCCUAGUUGAUGUCACCCCUCAGAUAACACACUAAACAUCAAACUGUGGUAGUUGGGGUGUUGUUUAUUAGGAUCAAACGGUGGACGAUGGAGUUUCGUUUUUUUAGGAUCAAACUGGGAGAUGGGGGUUGUGAUAUUAGUUAGCCUAAAAUUGCUUAACCACGGUUUUCUUUCCAUCUCCAUCAUACACCUGUUUAUGAAGGAAGACAUUUGAAAGUUAUAUACACUGCUCAUAAAAUAAAGGGAACACUUAAACAACACAAUGUGACUCCAAGUCAAUCACACUUCUGUGAAAUCAAACUGUCCACUUAGGAAGCAACACUGAUUGACAAUAAAUUUCACAUGCUGUUGUGCAAAUGGAAUAGACAACAGGUGGAAAUUAUAGGCAAUUAGCAAGACACCCCCAAUAAAAGAGUGGUUCUGCAGGUGGUGACCACAGACCACUUCUCAGUUCCUAUGCUUCCUGGCUGAUAUUUUGGUCACUUUUGAAUGCUGGUGGUGCUUUCACUCUCGUGGUAGCAUGAGACGGUGUCUAGUUCCUGCAAGAGGAAGGCAUUGAUGCUAUGGACUGGCCUGCCCGUUCCCCAGACCUGAAUCCAAUUGAGCACAUCUGUUGCAUCUGUUGCACCACAGACUGUCUAGGAGUUGGCGGAUGCUUUCCACCACCUCAUCAGGAGUAUGCCCAGGCGUUGUAGGGAGGUCAUACAGGCACGUAUGGCACCUAUACCAGGCACCUUUGGAAAAGGUGCAAUGAAAGAUGGGGAGACCUCUGCAUCAUCAGAGGAAGACUGAGGAAGAUGACUCAAUUGACUGUUCCAUCAAGGCGUGUGAUAUUCCAAGAAUCAAUGCCACAUCAACCAGUGCAAGGGGUCCUGCAGAUGUUGACAAUGCAUUCAGAUGUUGACAAUGCAUUCUCCUGCUGUCCCAUAAUUAUCAAGGCAAGACCCAGAUGCAGACACAGGAGACCCAGAUGGUUGGAGUCUUAAAAUGUUUACAAACCAGAUCAGAGUCCAGGAGGUACAGUGGCAGACAGGCUCUUGGUCAAGGCAGGAAGAAUGGUCAGGCAGGCGGGUACAAAGUCCGGAAAACAGGCAAGGGUCAAAACCGGGAGGACUAGAAAAAGGAGAAGCAGGCGAACGGAAAACCGCUCGAUGACUUGGAAACAUGCAAGACGAAACUAGGACAGAGAGACAGGCAACACAGGGAUAAAUAAACUGGGUAAAACAAGCGACACCUGGAGGGGAUGGAGACAAUAACGAGGACAGGUGAAACUGAUCAGGGUGUGACAAUAGUAAUGAACGUGUCAGAACGAGGCAGGCAGGCUUUGUCAGCCAGUCGAAAUCAUGAAUCGGCUGGCAUCAUUUUGAUGGAUAUAUACAAAAAAAUGACAAUUUAAUAAAGGUUAAAUGAAACUUAUAUCAUUUACAGUUUUUCCAGCUUCAGUUUGAAGUGAUUGUGUUACUGUAGCUGUGUUGUUGGUUAGCUUUUCGGAACAACAGUGUCGUGACGAGUGAACACAUUUUCUAUGCCGAAAUCGCGCCUCAUUGUUGUUCAUCCAAAUAAAUGUCACUAGAUAACAGUUUAAGCAAAUUAAGCUACCUUGCUGUUAUUCUGACUGCACUGUUUGACAUGGCUGUAAGUUAGCCGUAGUUGGCUAGCUAGCAAGCAAGGGAUAAGGACGUUGCCAGCCAGUAUGGCAAUGUAACAUUUAGAACGAACGACUGACCAUAGAUAUAGAACCAAAAGACUGGGUCGCGUCCAUAGAUACAGAACAGAAAGACUGGGUCGCGUUUCUAGCAACGCUAGAUUAGUGUCGCGACUAUAUGUUGUGGAAGGAUGGAAUAGUAUGAA